CCUACGGGUGGCAGCAGUGGGGAAUAUUGCGCAAUGGGCGAAAGCCUGACGCAGCGACGCCGCGUGAGGGAUGAAGGUCUUCGGAUCGUAAACCUCUGUCAGCAGGGAAGAACGGUCACUGUGCUAACCAGCAGUGUAUUGACGGUACCUGACUAAGAAGCCCCGGCUAACUACGUGCCAGCAGCCGCGGUAAUACGUAGGGGGCAAGCGUUAUCCGGAUUUACUGGGUGUAAAGGGGGCGUAGACGGCUGGGCAAGUCUGAAGUGAAAGGCAGGGGCUCAACCCCGGAACGGCUUUGGAAACUGCAAUGCUAGAGUGCAGGAGAGGUAAGUGGAAUUCCUGGUGUAGCGGUGAAAUGCGUAGAUAUUAGGAGGAACACCAGUGGCGAAGGCGGCUUACUGGACUGUAACUGACGUUGAGGCUCGAAAGCGUGGGGAGCAAACAGGAUUAGAUACCCUUGUAGUC
rnacentral:rRNA from 1 species